AAACCUUUUCAUUUUUGGGAGUAGUUGAUUUUCGUAGAAACAUCUAAAUGUUGAAGCUUUAAUAUCUUGUAAUAGUUCAAUUUGCUAUGGAAGACUACUUUCAAUGUUGUGAUAUUAUCUGUUGGUGGUUAAUUCUGUGUAGCUAUUAUGCUCUGUUUAUACCUUUCUGCUGUUACUGUGUUUACGUUUAAUUUGGCUAGAUGACUGCCAGAGAUGAUGAUAUUGUUGCACUUGUAAGAUUGUCUCAAAACAUGUUGAGAGUAGUCCAUAGUACUCCAGUUUUAGUAUUCUUUUUGAAGCAAUAAUGUGAUUGGGCCUAACAGUUUCCAAUACUAACUUACUAAGCAAUCAUUUAUCCCCAUAAAUUGAUGAAAAUAAAGUUGUAUGUUUCAUUGGUCCAUGAACAGGUUUAGGGAAAUCAUGAGAUGGGCUGGGCACCAGUGCAAGACUAUUCUUACUAAUGGACCACUUUCUUCCACGUACAAUCAACUUGCUUUUAGUUUCUUCUAUAUUACACUAAAGUGUUAUAUCCUUUUACUUAUUUAUCAAAUACCAUAAAAUAAAAUAAGUUUUUUUUAAAAAAAAACCCUUAUAUUAUUUUUGCUAAAGAACACAGCCAGUGUGUUUGGGAAGGGGCCAAUUACAGUGGCGGACUCAAGAUUUUUGUUCAGGGGGUUCGAAAAAUAAAAGUAUAAACCUGUAAAUAAGCCUUUAGAAAUGGGA
rnacentral:lncRNA from 1 species